AUGUUGCAAAAAGGAGAGACGGUUAGCCCUCCCUUUGGCAAGGACGGAAGAGACCAAUCGGUCUUUCUAACACACAUGGGCAUUGUUCUCUACUUUAGAGCAACCUAUUUUUCUAU
rnacentral:ncRNA from 1 species